GCCGAGAUAGCUCAGGGGUAGAGCGCUUCCUUGGUAAGGAAGAGGUCGGGGGUUCAAAUCCCCUUCUUGGCU
rnacentral:tRNA from 3 species